rnacentral:rRNA from 1 species
UACAGAGGUCUCAAGCGUUGUUCGGAUUCAUUGGGCGUAAAGGGUGCGUAGGCGGCGCGGUAAGUCGGGUGUGAAAUCUUGGAGCUUAACUCCGUAACUGCAUUCGAUACUGCCGUGCUUGAGGACUGGAGAGGAGACUGGAAUUUACGGUGUAGCGGUGAAAUGCGUAGAUAUCGUAAGGAAGACCAGUGGCGAAGGCGGGUCUCUGGACAGUUCCUGACGCUGAGGCACGAAGGCCAGGGGAGCAAACGGG